GUGACCCCAAGUCAGGUGGGAUUACCCGAUGAUUUUAAGAAUAUGAAUUAGUGGAGAAAAAGAAACUUAAAAAUAUUAUCCUAGUAAAGAUGAGUGAAUCAGGAAUAGCCUAGCCUUAGAAUUAGGUGAUUGCAUCGUCCAAAUUAUAGUUUGGAGAAGCAUUCUCAACGGUGGACAAGGCCCAAGUCCCCUGGAAGGGGGCGAUAGAGAGGAUGAGAGCCUCGUUGUGUAUGAUCUAUUUUGCACCACAAGGAGCUGUCAACGUGUUGGGUUGUUUAGGAAUGCAACCAAGAUCUGUUGGUGAAUUUCAUACAAGGCUAAAUACAUGUGAGAGACCGAUAAUGAACAAGUACUCUGAGGAAAAGAUAAAAAGGACUUUGAAAAGAGAUUCAAAGAGUGCUCAAAAUGGUCUGCAGAAAAGCUACUGAGGGCCGGUGAUGUGCCCUAGACGGAUGAGGAAUGGCAAUGAGCUGGUCAGCGGAUGGACUCGGGGCAACGAGUAGCGUGGAUUGAGAAGUGGCCAAAGCCCAGGUUCUUGAUAUGCUCGUGGAAUAUAAUCUCCUCGAUUGUGGUAGGAAGCAUACUCUUCUGGCAUAUUUUGGUAUCUUUAUGCUCCAUAUGCUGGACUGUGGGCUCCCUAUUUGGCCUGUCUUGAAAAACGAACAAAACGGUCUUACAUAUGUACUAGUCAAUGGGUACGUAAAACCAUAAGGUGUAAGGAUACUAAUUGGUGGGAUCCUCCUGUGGUGUACAUCGCUGAUAAAUCUUAAAUUUUUGAGAAGGGUUUAAGUUUGUGCAUACCUAUCGAGACCUAAAAUAUUGUAAACUAUGCCUGAGCGGGGCAAAGCCAGAGGAAACUUUAGUGGAGGCUUGUAGCAAUACUGAUAUACAAAUUGUGUGUCUGAAUUGGGUAUAGGGGAAGAAGACCAAUUGAACCAUCUAGUAGCUGGUUUCUUUAAAAAUUUCCCUGAGGAUAGCUAGUGCUCGCGUGCGAGUUCUAAUGCGUAAUCCAAUCAUUAGAGGCCUCAGUGGUGGAAGGCCCUUGACCUAUUCUCAAACUUUAAAUAAGUAGGAUGUCAUGGCUGUUUUUUAAGCCACACUACAAAAUCAAGAGCUCCAAGUGGGCCAUUUUUGGUAAAAUGAACUGGCGAUGUGAGAUGAACUGGAAGGCGAGUUAUGGUGCCAAACUGUUCACUAACCUAGAUCCCACAAUGGGUGUUGGUCGCUUAAGAUAGUAGGACGGUGGUCAUGGAAGUUUAAAUCUACUAACAAGUGUGUAGAAACUCUCCUGCCGAAUGAAGUAGACCUGAAAAUACAUAGCGCGAACCACACCCAUCUGUUGGGGUAUGUACCAGGCCCUAAUGAGUAGGCAUGCAUGGCGGUCACUGCAAAACCUUGGGCGCGAGCUCGACAGUAGUGUUCAUCAGUGCAGAUCUAGGUCGUAGCAACAAAUAUUCAAAUGAGAACUUUAAAGGCCAAAGAUGGGAAAGGUUCUAUGCGAACAUCACUUGUACAUGGGUUAGUCAAUCCUAAGGGUAUGGAAAACCCUGAUAGAUAGCCUAUUUUGCAUGUAAUUUGAAAGAGAAUCGAGUUAAAAUUCCUGAAAUAAAGAUAUUGGUGGGAACCAUGGGACAAUUAUCUUUUUAAUUUAACAGCCUGCCCACCCUUUAAUCGGCUCAGCCAGAGGUAGGUUCCUGCAGCUGGAACAACACUAGACAUUGCAUGGUGUUCAUUGAGAUCUCGGAUGCCAUUGAAAAUCAAGAGGACCAAAUAUUAUCCACACCUACUAGUACUGAUAACCACAUCAAUUUUCCAAGGUGGAUAACCUCUAGUCAAUGGAAUAACAUAGGAAAAAGAUGUCGAUAAAAUGGAUCCAUAACUCUAGGAAAAAGAUUAGCUCUGAGGGUUGGGCGGGAUUCCCAGUCCCAAGCCCAUCGGCUGUCGGUGAGCUGCUCGAGCUUCUCCCAUGGUAAGAGCAGGUCACCACAUAUUUUCCAGAGGACAGAAUAGAAAUGUUUCCUUCGAGGGCCUUCCCCGUGCAUUGAACAACCAACUUAGAACAAAUACGAAAAAGGGAAUCUAACUAUUUAAUUUAAACAAAGCAUGGCGAUGGUCCCAACGGAUGUUCACGCAAUGUCAUUUCUACCUAGUUCGUUAAAUGUCAAAGUGAAGAAAUUCAACCAAGCAUGGGUAAACGACAGGAGUAACUAUGACUAUCUUAAGGUAGCUAAAUGCCUUUGCAUCUAAUUUGUGACGUGCAUGAAUGGAUUAAUAACAUUCCCAUUAUCCGUGUCUAUUAUCCAGUGAAACCACAACCAAGGGAAUGGGCUUGGCAGAAUCAGCUGGGAAAGAAGACCCUAUUGAGCUUGACUCUAGUUUGACUUUGUGAAAUAACUUAAGAGGUAUAGUAUAAGUGGGAGAUGAAAGGCAAAAUUUAAAUACCACUAAUUAUAACAUUAUUUUACUUAUUUUGUGAAUGAGAAACGGGGCAUUAUCCCUCUUUUUAGACCCAAGGCCCCCUCUACGAGCCGCUCCAUGCAGAGAACAUUAUUAUAUAGGGAGAUUGGAUGGGGCAGCACACCAGUUAAAAGAUAAUUCAGGUGUCCUAAGAUGAGUUCAAUGGGAACAUAAAUCUCGUGUGGAACAGAACGGUAAAAGCUCAUUUGAUUUUGAUUUCAGUACGAAUACAAACCAUGAAAAUAUGGCCUAACGGUCCUUUAGACCUUCAAAAUUUAAAUAAAGAGGUGUCAAAAAAGUUACCACAAGGAGAAUUGUCUUGUGGCAUCCAAGAUUUCAUAGCAAUAUUGCUUUUUUAUCCUUCGAUGUCGGCUCUUCCUAUCAUUGUGAAGCAAAAUUCACCAAGUGUUACAUUGUUCACCCACUAAUUGGGAACAUGAGAUGGGUUUAGACCAAUGUGAGAUAGGUUAGUUUUACCCUACUGAUGAUAGUGUCGCAAUAGUAAUUCAACCUAGUAAGAGAGGAACCAUUGAUUAACAAAAUUGGUCAUUGCUCUUGGUUAAAAAUCCAAUGGCAUGAAGAUACUAUGUACUAGAUUAUGACUAAAUGCCUCUAAGUUAGAAUCUGGGAUAGAAAUAAAGCAUGCAACCGUUGUCUUCUUGCCGACCAAUAGUAGGGGCCUCGGCCACCAAUGGUACAUGUCGUUGGCUAAUCCAUCGUAGUGAAAGGGUUGCAGUGGGCACCUUGAAGUACAAUUUUCAUAUAGUGAAAAUUAGAAUCCUUUGCAGAUGAGUUAAAUAUAUGACGGGGUACUGUAAGUGGCAGAGUGGCCUUUCUGCCGCAAUCCAUUAAGAUUUUGUCCAUUCU
rnacentral:rRNA from 1 species